rnacentral:rRNA from 1 species
GUGGGGAAUAUUGGACAAUGGGCGCAAGCCUGAUCCAGCCAUGCCGCGUGUGUGAAGAAGGCCUUCGGGUUGUAAAGCACUUUUGUUGGGGAAGAAAACCUGUUGGUUAAUACCCGAUGGGAAUGACGGUACCCAAAGAAUAAGCACCGGCUAACUUCGUGCCAGCAGCCGCGGUAAUACGAAGGGUGCAAGCGUUACUCGGAAUUACUGGGCGUAAAGCGUGCGUAGGUGGUUCGUUAAGUCUGCCGUGAAAGCCCCGGGCUCAACCUGGGAAUUGCGGUGGAUACUGGCGGACUAGAGUGCGGUAGAGGGUGGUGGAAUUCCCGGUGUAGCAGUGAAAUGCGUAGAGAUCGGGAGGAACAUCUGUGGCGAAGGCGGCCACCUGGACCAGCACUGACACUGAGGCACGAAAGCGUGGGGAGCAAACAGGAUUAGAUACCCCUGUAGUCC